UUCAACUUAUAGUGCACUCAUCUUUCAAGAAACUUACCAACAUAUUCCUAGCUCUGUAUAUAUCCUCCCCUUGAAAUUGAAUUUAUAGAUUAACAAAGGAGUAAAACUCUAUGCAUAUACAUAAAAAUGCUUUGACUACUUCAAGUGUAUGAGAUACGCGAUUGAAAUAACAAAAGAUCACAUAGUCUAAAGUAAAGUUUUCAAUUGAACUGUUCAAAUGAACAGUGUUUUUCACCGGAUUUCAUUCUAUUUACAACUCUGCCACUAUUUUGUUUGUUGACCGAAAUGCCCACAAUUUUCUCCUCUCACCUCUCAUCCUUUUUCUCUCCUACGCGUGCGUUCUCCUGUCAUCCCUCAUCCCUCCUCUCUCUCCUUCUCUAUUGGAAAACCCACAAUCUUUCAUCUUCCUCUGCUCUUCUUUUCUCUCCGCUCCCCGUAUCUAUCGAUGUGAAGCCCACAAACCAAGUAGUGAUGGUUGAAAGCCACAAACAUGGCGGGCGCGAAAUGGUGGUACAGUGACGGUCGACAACCGCCUCCGUUGUCGAUGAAUUUGGCCGUCAGAAAGCGUCUUACGGGUUCUUGGGAUGUGAGAGUCGAUCUUCCUAGCGCUGGCGGCGACGGCCGGAAACAACAUCGGCAAAAUUCUGCAGAAGACGGGCACUGUCGUUCUUCCUUCUCUCUCCUUCAAGCUCAAGGUAGGUACUUCCUCAUUUUUUUUUUGUUUGCCCAUUUUGUCGUUUUUGAUUUUGUGAUUGCGUUCGAAUGGGGUUGAGUCGAUGGUCUCAUCUUCUAGAACUAUUGCAUGUGAAAUUUGCUUCAGAUGGAGUUCUUCGUUUAAAUUGGGUUUUAUUAAGUUUUUCAUGUUUUUGUAGAAUUCUUCGUUUCAAUUUUUUUGUUUUUGGAGUGUUGUUCAUUUAAAUUUUCUUUUGAUGUGAUUAUCUGAAUCAUUAUUUAAUUUAUGAGAUUUUUUAUGUAAUUUUAUAUGAAUUUUAGUAAAUUUUUCUGAGUUUUGUAUAAAUCUUCGAUUAAUUUCUACGUGGUUAUUAAUUUUAUGUUUUUUUAUUGAAUUUGUUUUCAGAAAACUACAAGUAAAAUAUCUUUAAUUAGUCGUCAGUUUUCAUGUUUUGAACAUCGUUCUUACAAGCUAUUAUAUCACAAUGUUCGAAUUUUUAAACUUUGUCAUACUCUCAUGCAUAGAGAAGAGAAUUGUUUUGUUUACGUCUCACUAAAACUGCUGUAAUUUAACAGAUUUAAUAGUUACUUCAUUCAAUGAAUAGCUCUUCAGUAUCCAUUUUGAAAUCAGCAUUGUUUACUUUCAUAUUGAUUCACCAUCACCUAACAAGAUUUCUUUGGACCCAAAACAAAUCAUAAUUAACAAUUCGCUAAUCUAUUCACUAAUCUGCUGCUUUACUUUCAUUGACUCUUUAGAUUGGGAAGCACCAGACUGUUUCCAAUCAAUUAGUUUGAUAGGUGCUUAACAAUUUCCUAGGUGGGAAACACUUACUUUUUUUGUGUAGAAGAUUAAUACCAUGCAACCAUCACUUAUAUAUAAGUAUUAUAGCUUAACAAUAGGUUUGUGAAUAGAUUUCCACAUAUAUAUAUAUGAUAUCAUAUAGAUUUAAAACUUUCUACGUGUUUUAUACAGUUUCAAAACCCGCAGCACUGUGUGGGAUAAUUGUGAAAAGUAGAAACAAGAUAGUUCCCAUCACUUAUCGAUUGUUGAUUGGUUUUGAAUUUUAAUGAAAUAUAUUUUUGAGUCAGCCUUUCUAGUCUUUAUUGGACGGGUCUCUUGAUUUUUGGUAACUAUAAUGGUCUUGUAAUCCUAUUGUUUGCAAGUGUCAAUAACCUGUGAGCUAAAUGUUAGCUUAGCUUGUAAGCAAUUUGGUUUGGAUAUAUAUCCUUAGGGAACACUACCUUGUAUUUUUUCUGAAACCAUUAACAAAGAUUCACUUUUUUCUGUCUAAAA